rnacentral:rRNA from 1 species
AGCACGCCGCGGUAACCACCGGCGGCCCGAGUGGUGAUCGUGAUUAUUGGGUCUAAAGGGUCCGUAGCCGGUUUGAUCAGUCCGUCCGGGAAAUCUGAUAGCUCAACUAUUAGGCGUUUCGGGGGAUACUGCCAGACUUGGAACCGGGAGAGGUAAGAGGUACUACGAGGGGUAGGAGUGAAAUCUUGUAAUCCCUGUGGGACCACCUGUGGCGAAGGCGUCUUACCAGAACGGGUUCGACGGUGAGGGACGAAAGCUGGGGGCACGAACCGGAUUAGAUACCCGGGUAGUCCCAGCCGUAAACGAUGCUCGCUAGGUGUCAGGCAUGGCGCGACCGUGUCUGGUGCCGCAGGGAAGCCGUGAAGCGAGCCACCUGGGAAGUACGGCCGCAAGGCUGAAACUUAAAGGAAUUGGCGGGGGAGCACAACAACGGGUGGAGCCUGCGGUUUAAUUGGACUCAACGCCGGACAACUCACCGGGGGCGACAGCAAUACGUAGGCCAAGCUGAAGACUUUGCCUGAAUCGCUGAGGAGUGGUGCAUGG